rnacentral:rRNA from 1 species
UACGUAGGGAGCAAGCGUUGUCCGGAAUCAUUGGGCGUAAAGCGCGCGUAGGUGGCCCGGUAAGUCCGCUCUGAAAGUCACAGGCUCAACCUGUGAAAGCGGGUGGAUACUGCCGGGCUAGAGUCCGGAAGAGGCGAGUGGAAUUCCUGGUGUAGCGGUGGAAUGCGCAGAUAUCAGGAGGAACACCAGCGGCGAAGGCGGCGCUCUGGGCCGGAACUGACGCUGAGGAGCGAAAGCAUGGGGAGCGAACAGG